rnacentral:rRNA from 1 species
UGGGGAAUUUUGGACAAUGGGCGAAAGCCUGAUCCAGCAAUGCCGCGUGUGUGAAGAAGGCCUUCGGGUUGUAAAGCACUUUUGUCCGGAAAGAAAUCCUUGGCUCUAAUACAGUCGGGGGAUGACGGUACCGGAAGAAUAAGCACCGGCUAACUACGUGCCAGCAGCCGCGGUAAUACGUAGGGUGCAAGCGUUAAUCGGAAUUACUGGGCGUAAAGCGUGCGCAGGCGGUUUGCUAAGACCGAUGUGAAAUCCCCGGGCUCAACCUGGGAACUGCAUUGGUGACUGGCAGGCUAGAGUAUGGCAGAGGGGGGUAGAAUUCCACGUGUAGCAGUGAAAUGCGUAGAGAUGUGGAGGAAUACCGAUGGCGAAGGCAGCCCCCUGGGCCAAUACUGACGCUCAUGCACGAAAGCGUGGGGAGCAAACAGGAUUAGAUACCCUGGUGUGUCCACGCCCUAAACGAUGUCAACAGUUGUUGGGGAUUCAUUUCCUUAGUAACGUAGCUAACGCGUGAAGUUGACCGCCUGGGGAGUACGGUCGCAAGAUUAAAA